UGGACUAGAUGGCCUUUAAAGGUCCCUUCCAACCCAACCUGUUGUGAUUCUGUGGUGAUUUUGCAAGUGCCAUGCAUUUGCUUCUGUUCAGUGUGCUCUAGUGGAAAGUCAACUGUUGUGCCGCCUGGUUGACCCCAAGGUACAUGCUGUUGUCAUGGCAUUCAGCAGCCAUUGAAUUUGUCUAUAACUGUCUGCUAAUGGAGAACAUUAUCCUGCUUCAGGGUUGAUACCAUGGAAGCAUUUGAGUGCUCUGUCUUCAAGAAGCCAUUUCCAGUGGGGACUAACCUGUUUCUCUAAUAUGCCUCUCUUAAAUCAGGGAGGGAGAGGUCUGUCUCAGUAAGAGCAUGCUAAUACACUGGAUUUAGAUCCUUCAAGUUUUAGAUUGACAUUGUGGGAUAUUUAAUGAUUUUUCUUUUGUGUGUAUUUUAAAUUAGAUUUCCUGUUUAGUUGGCCUGAAUCAAGCUUGUUAAUAUCACUGGAGGUACCACUGCUGAAGGUUGUUUAUUGUAGGUGUUACUCCAGCUCAGCGGCUUUCUGUUACAACUUUACUGUGUCAAAGGAUUUGCACCCUGUGGAUUCUGAGCAGGUACAAGGACAUCGCAAAUGAUAAGUAUAGGACUGGAAGUAAGAACUCAUACAGAAUCUGAAAGAAAAAACCAUCAAUUUUGACUGUGCCUUAAAUCACUAAAACAGAAGGUAAAAUCCACAUGCAUUUUACAAGCAAGGGUCUGCCACUUCCGAAGGAUUUCCUCACCCAGGAGAUGUUAGCAGGAGAGUGCCAAGCUCCUCUCAGCAAGACUGGACAAGACCCUUUUCUCCAAUUCUGCCCACCACUGCCAUGGUGACCUCCUUUGCUAUGUGAGGGAGAACGUAUCCUGCAGUUCUGGACAAGCUCCACAUCUGCACCCUGCUGUGGGCCACAGCUCUGUGCAGACGACUUCCACUGCUGCUCCGUGUGCUGUAGAGUCUGGUGCUCACACCCUCAGCGCUCCUCGGCAGCUCCUUCAGAGACCUGCUCAGCUGCUUGCCUUUGCUGUGGAACAUCUCACGCUUGUGGACAGGAUUUCUCUCUUGGGGAGGGUGGCUCUGUACCCAGAAGUGUGUCAGGAGUACUUGGAGGUCUGCUACCCUCCUCAUG